GAUUUCUGGUUGACCAUCCUGGCCCGCGUCCUUCGGGACGUGUGUGCUGGUAUGAGUCUUCCAUCCUUCUAGAGAGCCAUGCCUGCUGUUCAUUCAGCUGGGCGUGUGCGAUCUAGAUCAUUUACUUUGAAAAAAUUAGAGUGUUUAAAGCAGGCUUAUGCCCGAAUACAUUAGCAUGGAAUAAUAAAAUAGGACUUCGGUUCUAUUUUGUUGGUUUCUAGAACUGAAGUAAUGAUUGAUAGGGAUAGUUGGGGGUGCUAGUAUUCCGCGGCCAGAGGUGAAAUUCUUGGAUUCGCGGAAGACUAACUACUGCGAAAGCAUU
rnacentral:rRNA from 1 species